UAUAUACUCCCUCCGUCCGGAAAUACUUGUCAUCAAAAUGGAUAAAAGGGAUGUAUCUAGAUGUAUUUUAGUUUUAGAUACAUCCCUUUUUGUCCAUU
rnacentral:pre_miRNA from 1 species